CGGAGCCACCGUGGAUCUUCCUCUUGGAGCGUUCGUGCUUGGGCAGGUUCCAGGGCAGCGUGUCCCCCGGUGCCGGCGACCCCGUGCCCGACUUCUGGCUGAGGUCUUCCUCCUCGGAGAGAUCGGCGGAGGACGACAUGGAGCAGCGUUUUCCAAUAUGAAUUGCAAGACUUAACCCUGAAGGAAUGUACCUACAUUUGUGGAAGCAAACAAAGUUACUGAAGAUUUCUUAGAAGCGAAAAUAAGAAUUUCAGCUCUGAGCAUCUGGGAAACUACAGUAUGCAGAGUUGGCACACACAAACCAAAGACUGUCAGAACUACAGCUGCCAGGCCACUGCUCCACCACCACAGACUGACCACGCAAACCCCAUCCUCACAGCUCUUACCUCCCAUCUGAGGACACCUAUCAUCCUCGCUGAGAAGCUGAACAGGAUACUUCCAGCAUGGAGAUAUGUAGAAAAGCUGAUCUCUCUGCCUAGUAGUCACUUGCCACAGUUGCAGACUGAUUGCAAUGUGGGCAGGAAGCAUGGAAAGCAAGGGCAGGCAGGCAGCAGACCUGAUGGGCAGGAGAGAACUGUUUUUUUACAUGCUCCUGGUGAUUUGCUCGGCCGUGCUUAGCUAGGAAGAGGAAAAAGCCAUAUGAUCUGAAUGCAGAGAGGACAAACACCGGAACCAGGAUGCUGAAGGAAAGGGCAGGAGAAAUACAGCUGGACUGACAGCCUGAGGGACAAACACAGAGACUGGCUGAGCCCGGAAAUACAAUCUAGGGGCUGGAGCUGAAGAGAAAAAGCGUUUAAGGGCUCAACAGCCUGCAUAAAGACUAGAGGAUAAACAGAGCCACAGGACAACAGCUGGGACAAGUGACUGUGCUGGAAAGAGUGGACCAGGGGAGAAUCAAGGAUCUGAUGAGCUGUUGUGAAACUGGUAGUGCCUCAGCAAAAGGCUCUGAAUGGGGUUACGUGAUGAACAAGGCAGACAGGAACUGAGGAGACAGUCUCCAAGAAGAGAGACAAACAGGAGCCAAGGAAGGUAAAAAGGGGGCCUCAGGGAGACACAGAAAUUGAAGAGCUGGUUAGACAAGUACCUCUGAGCACCAAUGUAACUGAGCCUGGGGCUGGAUUCACAGGGAUUGAGACACAGGAAUGACACAAGGACUAACAGAGCAAGAGCAGGAGGGCUGGGGUCAGCAGAGGAGCAAGUGGUGGGAAGCAUGGCUGAGCAGGCAGGAGAAAGGAGCCAGCAGCAGGAUGGAGGAAGGCCAGGAGCAGGCUGGAAGGAAUGGGCCAAAAGUAGUAAAGCUUAGGGAGAAUGUGCACAAAAAAGCACAUUCCCCUGGAGAGCCUGUAGGAAACUGCAGGGAACUCCACCAACAGCAAAUAUCUGAAAGUUCCUCUAGAAAAUUAACUCUUCCCCUGUAUUGUUGAUUCUCAUGGAGGAAUACAAAUACUGUCAGUCUCCGAGUUUCAAUAGCAGAAAUUUCUCUGGCAUAGUUCAAGUGACAAAACCUGCUCGUGAGCCACACAACAGGGCUUUCUUUUUAAGUAAAUUAUUUUCAACAGUAAAAUCUUUUAACACCAGGUUCCUGCUAAAGUACUGUUCUUAAGGUUGCAAAAUCAAGCAGUCAGAUGCUACUAAAUCACUCAAUCCCCUUAAUUCAGCCUUUUUAUUUCCACAUCAUGAUGCAGUCAUAACAAUCUGGCCAUACGCUAUUGCGUCCACAAUCUCUAGACCGUUUAGUGCAAGUGAUGGGUGAUAUUCUCUCCAUGAAUAGCUGCUCAGUAUUUAGUUUUGUCAUAUGCUUUUCAGUGGGCAGCCCCAGAACUUUUCUUUAUGCUGCUGAAAUAAUGAUGUGAAGAAAAAAUUAUUUUGCAGACUGUUUUGUGGCGCUCUUCACUACAGUGAAUCUAACUGCGUGGUAUCUGACUGCUUCACAAUUAAUGAUGAUCUUUUGAAUUAUACAGGGGACAAACUGAAACCAAUAGAUCAAUUUUGGUACCUGAGGUCAAGCUAGGGACAGGGAUCUCAUUUUUAAGAGUUACUAGAAUCAUGCAUUAGUAAUACUCAGAGCAUGGACACGUGGAGUUCCAUGCUAAGUGGCAGUUUGAGAACUUUAAUAAACUUAACUACAUGCUGUAAGUCAGGCAACUGGAAAAUGGAGGAUAAAGUGUUUUAAGCCAGUUGAUCGGCAAGUUCACAGUG